rnacentral:pre_miRNA from 1 species
UCUCUGCUUACUAAGUAUCUUGAUUGUUUGUUUUAGUGAAUUUAGCCGUCAACUGAUAAUAUUUCCAUAGUUUUGUACUAGCAAUACUAUGGAAACGUUUUCGAAUAAGGUUCUUAAAUUCCUAUCCUAGUCAGUGAGUGUAUU